GACGAACGCUGGCGGCGUGCUUAACACAUGCAAGUCGAACGAAGAGCGAUGGAAGCUUGCUUCUAUCAAUCUUAGUGGCGAACGGGUGAGUAACGCGUAAUCAACCUGCCCUUCAGAGGGGGACAACAGUUGGAAACGACUGCUAAUACCGCAUACGAUCUAAUCUCGGCAUCGAGGAUAGAUGAAAGGUGGCCUCUACAUGUGAGCUAUCACUGAAGGAGGGGAUUGCGUCUGAUUAGCUAGUUGGAGGGGUAACGGCCCACCAAGGCGAUGAUCAGUAGCCGGUCUGAGAGGAUGAACGGCCACAUUGGGACUGAGACACGGCCCAGACUCCUACGGGAGGCAGCAGUGGGGAAUCUUCCGCAAUGGACGGAAGUCUGACGGAGCAACGCCGCGUGAGUGAUGACGGCCUCCGGGUUGUAAAGCUCUGUUAAUCGGGACGAAAGGCCUUCUUGCGAAUAGUGAGAAGGAUUGACGGUACCGGAAUAGAAAGCCACGGCUAACUACGUG
rnacentral:rRNA from 1 species